GAUGGAGUGAGGCGGGACAGGCCAGGAAACGGCGUGUGGUCCUCUAGCUUGGCUGCACUCAGCUGACUGCAAGGAAUCAAAGAGGGAAUACUGUGGGUGAAAAACUCGAUAAAAUAAGAACAUUUCUCGGGCGAACAAAGGAGCACAACUGCUGCUAAGCCAAACACAAAUGAGCCAUAAACAAAUGGCAGGUAUUUGUAUAUAUUUUUUUUUUCGUAGUACUGGCUAAUUUUGUGAAUGGAAAACAACCCAUCCCAACCCAUCCAAUCCAAUCCCAUUCGAUCCCAUCCCAUCCCAUCACCUACGUAUUUAUGGGUCGACGUCAUGGUUCUCUGAGUUCGCUGCGUAGGCACAAACAAUUAACAUAUUGCCAAAAUACCUACAUAUAGUAUAUACGUAUAUAUCCAAUUUUGUAUGUGUACACCUCAGAAAUGCCUGUUUAUAAUUAGUUUCGCGGAGUGUAUAAUAAAUUGGAGGCGAUGUGAAAAUAGCGCGCUUCUAAAAUGGUAUUUGGCGAAUGCGUAAACAAACAGAUCAGUCAUCGCAUAAUGGGAUAUUAUCCACUGCACCUCCGAUCUGUUGGAUCUAAUCCGUUUGGCUGGGGAAAGCCAAGAGGUCAGUUACAUUGGACAAUCGUACAUGAUGCACAUAGCAAGGGAUCAGUCAUAUUUUCAUAUUAUAUCAUUUCCUGAGCUCCAACCUUAUAAUGGAAACAGAGAUCUGCCAGCUGGUUCCCUUUCGCCCUCUCCAUCUUCACAUCCCUUGGCACCCACAUUCCCCCGGUCAUCCAAUCGUCGGAGAUCAAAUAGAAGGUGCCAAUCCCUGCCGCCUUCCCUGCUGUCAUCGCCCUCCAAAAGCUCCUGCCACUGAGGAAUGUAAAUGUAAAAUUAAGCACUCGGCUGAUUUCAAGACGAACAAGUGUAUACUCUUCGCUAGAAACCAAAGAAAUUCGCACAGAUUUGAAAACAUUUGUUUUUGAAGUUUUUCAGCAUUUCAGUGUUCAGAAACUUGUGAAGUUACAUUACUUUUAAAAUAACAUUAAAGCACCUCGAAACCACUUUAUUCGAACAAGAGUAUUGCCAUUUUGUGUGUUGUGUCAAAAUGGCUCGUUCUUUUCAGUUUUAUUAUAUGUUUACGGCGACUCGGCGUCGUCAUUAAAUAAUAAUCACAAAUUCCACUGGCACGGCGCCAAAAUUAAUCAUCGGUCACUUUCACUAGACCAAAGGCAGUGGCAUCGGCAGAAAGUUUCUUGAUUUGAAAAUAAGUGAAAUUAAAAUAUUUCACACCACCCCCGAAGUUUCGUUCGUUAUUCACUUUAUCGCCGAAUGCAAAAAUAAAGGCAAGAACAAAUUGA